rnacentral:SRP_RNA from 1 species
CAUCCCUUUAGUUCCAGCCUGAAGUGAGAGGACAGCGGACAGCUUGAGCCCAGGAGUUCUAAGCUGUCGUGUGGUAUGCACCAGUGUCCCCACUAAGUUCAACAUUCAUAUAUUGACCUUUCAGGAGCAGGGGAUGACCAGGUCACCUAAGGAAGGGUACACAGGCCCAGGUUGGAAAUAGAGCAGGUCAAAUUCUCUUGCUGGCUAGUGGUGGGAUUAGGCCUGAGAUCAGUCACUGCACUUCAGUCUGGGCAACAUAGUGGGGCCCUGUUCUUU